rnacentral:rRNA from 1 species
GAUGAACGCUAGCUACAGGCUUAACACAUGCAAGUCGAGGGGUAACGAGAGGGAAGCUUGCUUUCCUUGUCGACGACCGGCGCACGGGUGAGUAACGCGUAUCCAACCUGCCCCCAACUAGGGAAUAACCUUGCGAAAGUAAGACUAAUACCCUAUAAUUUCCUCAGAUGUCAUCUGACGAGGAAUAAAGAUUUAUCGGUUGUGGAUGGGGAUGCGUCUGAUUAGCUUGUUGGCGGGGUAACGGCCCACCAAGGCAACGAUCAGUAGGUGUUCUGAGAGGAAGGUACCCCACAUUGGAACUGAGACACGGUCCAAACUCCUACGGGAGGCAGCAGUGAGGAAUAUUGGUCAAUGGGCGGAAGCCUGAACCAGCCAAGUAGCGUGCAGGAUGACGGCCCUAUGGGUUGUAAACUGCUUUUAUACAGGGAUAAAGUUAGCCACGUGUGGUUAUUUGUAGGUACUGUAUGAAUAAGGACCGGCUAAUUCCGUGCCAGCCGCCGCGGUAA